CAUGCAAGUCGAGCGGUACAGGCCUUCGGGUGCUGACGAGCGGCGGACGGGUGAGUAAUGCUUGGGAACUUGCCUUUCGGAGGGGGAUAACCAUUGGAAACGAUGGCUAAUACCGCAUAACGUCUACGGACCAAAGUGGGGGAUCUUCGGACCUCACACCGAGAGAUAGGCCCAAGUGAGAUUAGCUAGUUGGUGGGGUAAAGGCUCACCAAGGCGACGAUCUCUAGCUGUUCUGAGAGGAUGAUCAGCCACACUGGGACUGAGACACGGCCCAGACUCCUACGGGAGGCAGCAGUGGGGAAUAUUGCACAAUGGGGGAAACCCUGAUGCAGCCAUGCCGCGUGUGUGAAGAAGGCCUUCGGGUUGUAAAGCACUUUCAGUGGUGAGGAAGGCUAUCGUGUUAAUAGCACGGUAGAUUGACGUUAGCCACAGAAGAAGCACCGGCUAACUCCGUGCCAGCAGCCGCGGUAAUACGGAGGGUGCGAGCGUUAAUCGGAAUUACUGGGCGUAAAGCGUACGUAGGCGGCUCAUUAAGCAAGAUGUGAAAGCCCCGGGCUCAACCUGGGAAUGGCAUUUUGAACUGGUGAGCUCGAGUUUUGAAGAGGGUGGUAGAAUUUCCAGUGUAGCGGUGAAAUGCGUAGAUAUUGGAAGGAAUACCAGUGGCGAAGGCGGCCACCUGGUCAAGAACUGACGCUGAGGUACGAAAGCGUGGGGAGCAAACAGGAUUAGAUACCCUGGUAGUCCACGCCGUNAACGAUGUCAACUAGUUGUUCGUUUCAUAAACGAAGUGAGUAACGCAGCUAACGCACUAAGUUGACCGCCUGGGGAGUACGGCCGCAAGGUUAA
rnacentral:rRNA from 1 species